rnacentral:rRNA from 1 species
UACGAAGGGGGCUAGCGUUGCUCGGAAUUACUGGGCGUAAAGCGCACGUAGGCGGAUUGUUAAGUCAGGGGUGAAAUCCUGGAGCUCAACUCCAGAACUGCCUUUGAUACUGAAGAUCUUGAGUUCGGGAGAGGUGAGUGGAACUGCGAGUGUAGAGGUGAAAUUCGUAGAUAUUCGCAAGAACACCAGUGGCGAAGGCGGCUCACUGGCCCGAUACUGACGCUGAUGCACGAAAGCGUGGGGAGCAAACAGG